rnacentral:tRNA from 1 species
GGAGAGGUGGCAGAGCGGUUGAAUGCGCCGGAUUCGAAAUCCGGUUUGGCUCUUUGAGUCAACGGGGGUUCGAAUCCCCCCCUCUCCG